rnacentral:rRNA from 1 species
UGGCGGACGGGUGAGUAACGCGUAAAGAACUUGCCCUUUAGACUGGGAUAACAGAGGGAAACUUCUGAUAAUACUGGAUAAGUUAGUAUAUCGCAUGAUAUGCAAAUGAAAGCUACGGCACUAAAGGAGAGCUUUGCGUCCUAUUAGCUAGUUGGUAAGGUAAGAGCUUACCAAGGCGAUGAUAGGUAGCCGGCCUGAGAGGGUGGACGGCCACAAGGGGACUGAGAUACGGCCCUUACUCCUACGGGAGGCAGCAG